rnacentral:rRNA from 4 species
UAGUCGGAGGUGUGUCUCGGACGGUUGGUUCGCUGCUUGUCGGUGCUUAACUGGCCGGUCCGGACGUCCUGCCGGUGGGGAUGUCAAAAGUCCCCGUUAUCCUUCUUUGGUGCUCUUCACCGAGUGCCUUGGUGGGCCGGCACGUUUACUUUGAACAAAUUAGAGUGCUCAAAGCAGGCCGUUGGUCGCCUGAAUACUGUGUGCAUGGAAUAAUGGAAUAGGACCUCGGUUCCAUUUUGUUGGUUUUCAGAACUCGAGGUAAUGAUUAAUAGGGACGGACGGGGGCAUUCGUAUUGCGACGUUAGAGGUGAAAUUCUUGGAUCGUCGCAAGACGAACCGAUGCGAAAGCAUUUGCCAAGAACGUUUUCGUUGAUCAAGAACGAAAGUUAGAGGUUCGAAGGCGAUCAGAUACCGCCCUAGUUCUAACCAUAAACGAUGCCAGCUAGCCAUCCGCCGAAGUUCCUUCUAUGACUCGGCGGGCAGCUUCCGGGAAACCAAAGCUCUUGGGUUCCGGGGGAAGUAU